rnacentral:tRNA from 1 species
AGAAAAGUAAUUUAAGUGAAAAUGUAAGGUUUCAAACCUUAAUAUGCAGAUGUUGUGCCUUUUUUG